UANANANUUCCGCAUGGCGGGNAANCCCUGNNGGACGACGCCGCGUGGAUGAUGAAGGCCGUAAGGUUGUAAAAUCCUUUUGCAGGUGAAGAAUAAGCGGGGGAGUGGAAAGCCUCCGUGAUGACGUUAGCCUGCGAAUAAGCCCCGGCCAAUUACGUGCCAGCAGCCGCGGUAAUACGUAUGGGGCAAGCGUUGUUCGGAGUUAUUGGGCGUAAAGGGCGUGUAGGCGGUUUUUCAAGUCUGGUGUGAAAUCUCCGGGCCUAACCCGGAGCACGCGCUGGAAACUGGAAGACUUGAGUUCUGGGGGGGAAGCUGGAAUUCCUGGUGUAGGAGUGAAAUCUGUAGAUAUCAGGAAGAACACCGGUGGCGAAGGCGGGCUUCUACUCAAGGACUGACGCUGAGGCGCGAAAGCGUGGGGAGCAAACAGGAUUAGAUACCCUGGUAGUCCACGCUGUAAACGAUGUGCACUAGGCGUGGGGCGCGGUUCGCGCUCUGUGCCGUAGCUAACGUGUUAAGUGCACCGCCUGGGGAGUAUGCUCGCAAGGGUGAAACUCAAAGAAAUUGACGGA
rnacentral:rRNA from 1 species